CCACAUGUAGAUUUGUCAUCAUUACCUUGCCGGCCGCUCCCCUCUCACUGUCUUCUCAUAAUAUCAUCUAUGUCGGAACUCCCUAACAUUUCCCCACCGCAAGCCCCAAAAUCCGCAAACAAUCUCGCGUCGUCGCUACGAACUCGAGAUGUUCUCUCUGCUAGCACCUCUAAUUUCGUCCCUCGCCAAGCUACCCAGCACUACAAUAUUGAUUCCUUCGACCCUAGGUCAAAUACAUAACAAGGGCCCUGUUGAACUCUGGAUGCCCUGGAAGGGAAGAUCUUUGGAGGUGUCAAUCAACAAAAUUAUAUAAGGAGCUCGUGAGGAGUAAAGGGCGGGGGUGAAUAUCACCACCGAUCCGAAAAAAGUUCUCCUUUCACUCAUUUCAGCGGUUAGUUAACUCUUUCAUGCCUGCGGACAAUUACUGUCUAUGCAUAUUAUUUCUUAUUUUGGUGUUUGCAUGAUUUUCGUAAGGAAUUGGUGUUCACAUGUUAUUUUCAAUCCAUGGAGCUCGUGAGAUUUUCUUUGGGUAACACGCUUAACGUUGGCUUUCAGGCUAAAGGCCACAAAGAUUCGUAUAUAAAAUAGAGAUAGUGAUACUCUUCUCCUUCUUCUUCUUUUUACUCCCGCUCCUCCUCUCCCUCUUCGAAAUCAGUUCAUAGAGCGAAAAGUGUUUCGUACAUGGGCCCUAGGCAGCCCUUUUUUUCAUUGAACGUAUUUUUUACACCUCAAAGAAUAAUGAAAAAAAAAUAUACAUAGAGUAUACACAUAUGAAACUUCAUCAACAUAUAUUUUCUUAUGUGGUAUACAAAAAGAAGACAAAUACAUAUAUUAAAAAUUGUUGCAGUGGUGGUGGUGGUGGUGUGGCAUUUUUCACAGAAAUUGUAUCUUAUUAUGUAGUUUGAAAAUAAUUGUAUUAUUCGAUGAAUUCUUGCAGAUAUGUAGUUAACAUGUAUACAAAUUUGUAAAGAAGUUAAACUUUCUUGGAACUUUUAAACAAUAUUUCCAAAUUUUAUUCAAAUUCCAAGCUCCCUACAGCCUGUCCUCCAAAAUGUUGCUCCGCUCUCAUUCAGAGAAAUGCCCUUUUUUUGGCCAUUCAAAGGGUGCCUUUUUUGGGGGAAAUUCAAAAGUUGUCUGGUAUGGAUAACACAUGUUUUGUUCAUAUGCCCCCCCCCCCGGUACGUCUUUACAAUGCACGGUGCUCUAGUUGCACUGCAAGUAUCCUCCACUCGUAUCAUGCCCAUAACUAUGCUGCAUCAGGUCCAACCCAUAUAGCCAAGCCAUCACAAAAAUACCGGCUUAACAUUCUAUUUAUUCCUCCUUGAAAAAAACAUUCCAUUUAUUACUCCAGUUUUGAUUGCGUAACACGCACAUCCACGUGCGAGAACAUGGAUAUCGGACGGUGCGGACCAGGCGUAGGGAUUGGGUGCGUUUUGGUCGUAUCUCCCUCGGUAUGCAUUUCGGUUGUAUCGCCACCGGUAUGCGUUUCGGCCAAUCUCCCCCUUUUCAACCACCAGGGCAUCAGGAUGAGGGCGUGCAUUGCGAUUGUAUCUCUCCCUUUCCAACCAUCGGGCAUCGAGAUCAGGGGGUGCAUUUUAGAUGUAUGUCACGCAUCCACAAAGAAGAACACAUAAUAUAUGAUGCAGACGGGGGCACUGGAUGCAUUUCUGUCAUAUCUCCCCAUUUCUAACCACCGGGGCAUCGAGAUCGGCGGGUGCGUUUCGGCUAUAUCUCGCGCAUCCACAUACAAGAAUGUGGAUCAGAUGAUGUGGACCAGGGCACUGGGACCAGUGGGUGCAUUUCGGUCGCAUCUCCCCUUUCCCACCACCGGGGCGUAGGGAUCAAGGGGUGUGUUUCGGCUGUAUCUCCCAUUUCCAACCACCGGGGCAUAGGGAUCAAGGGGUGCAUUUCUGCUGUAUCUCCUUCUUUCCAACCACUAGGACAUAUGAUCAAGGGGUGCGUUUCGGCUGUAUCUCCCCCUUUCCAGCCAUGGGGACAUAUGAUCAAGGGGUGCGUUUCGGCUGCAUCUCCCCCUUUCCAACCACCGGGGCAUAGGAUCAAGGGGUGUUUUUCGGCUGUAUCCCUCAACCACCGGGGCAUAGCGUAGCGAUCAAGGGGUGCGUUUCGGCUAUAUCUCCCCCUUUCCAACCACCGGGGCAUAGGGAUUAGGAGGUGUGUUUCGGAUGUAUCCCCCAACACCGAGGCAUAGCAUAAAGAUCAAGGGGUGCAUUUCGGCGGUAUCUCCCACUUCCAACCACCAUGGCAUUAGAUGAGUACUGGCCAAAUUUACUAUUACGUACACUCCAUCAUACAUUAGCCCGUUUCAUGUCAUCACUUUCUGACCUUGGUCACUAGAGGCCAGGCCCGGCUGCCUGUAUGGUAGUGCUUCCAAAAUAACGUUGCAGCCCAUGUGCACCAUCCAAAACGUGGCCUUGCAUGAGGCUUGGCUGCUCUACACUUGUACAAUUUUGUAUAUCUCUCCAUCUUAUCCUGCAUUGCUGAUUUGUAUCAUGAAACUGAUGCGUCCUAGGUAGAGUAUAUCCAUCCAUCUCUUGCAUCGCACUGCUGAUGGAUAUAUACGAUUCCCGCAAAAAAGAAAAUUACGGUGGUUGUUUCCCAGCUAUAGUAUACUCUGCGUGUUGUGAAUAGAAACCUCCAGGUUAACUCUGCAGCCGUAUGCCCCCGUCCAAGACGUGACCUUGCCUGAGGCUUGGCCGAUGUACACUUGUACCCUUCGUAUCUCUCCAUCUCUAUCUGGAGAAACUGAUGCGUUGUACUCCUUCAAUUCCUAAAUAUAAGUUUUUUCUUACAGAUUCUAAUAUAGACUACAUACGAAGCAAAGUGAGUGAAUCUACCGGAAAAUGCCAUCGGAGGCCGAGCUCCAGUGAGCUCGUUUUCAUUUUUUAUUUUUCUGGAGCAUGAAAAAUUCCAAAUUUAUUUUUUGAACACACAUGCACAUGUAUACUAUGUAUAUGCAAAAUUUCACAGUAUUACACGUUUACAUGUGGCCUACAGGAAAAAGACAAAUACACAUUUUUAAUGGGCCUUUUAUUUUUGUUAUUGGGCCAGAAAUUUGUUAUUUUUGUACAGCCUACAAAUCACAACAUUUUUCGACGAAAUUUAACACGUUCUUGCGGAAUACAUAUAAGUUUUCAUGAUAUUUUUUUCAGAUUUUUCUGGAACUUUUAAAUACGCUUUUUGAUUUUUUCAAAUAUCGAGCUCACUGAAGCUCGGCCUCCAAAAAUCCGCACUCGUGAAUCUACACCCUAAAUACGUCUAAAUACAUUCAUAUGUAAUUCGUAUUGAAAUCUCUAAAAGAUACUAUAUUAUAUUUAGAAACAAAGGGAGUAGCUAGCAGGUGACAACCGUGUAGAUAGAUGACACAAAAUAUGUGAUGGAGGGGAAGGCGCGCGUCGCUGCACCGGGAACUAAUGCGUUGUGUGUAUCCUACUCAUGCAAAGACUGUUUGUGCUCUCGUUGCACUCGUAGCCCCUUGAUGCUACUCCCUCCGUCCGAAAAUACUUGUCAUCAAAAUGAAUAAAAGAGAAUGUAACUAGACGUAUUUUAUUUUUAGAUACAUCCCUUUUUGUCCAUUUUGAUGACAAGUAUUUUUGGACGUAAAAAGUACAUUAUUAGUCAAAUAGAAAACGCCUUUUGCAGAAAAAUAAGUCAGUUGCUGCAGACGCCAAAGCACUAACAAAAGCAGAUAAAAAUUCAUGCCAAAUCAUACCACUAAAUCACAACCAUUGCCGCCCCCACCAGACCAAACGAAACCCACGCGCACGGUGGCCAAGGGCUCCAAAUUAGGCGAGGCAUGGCUGUCGAAAUAGCGAUCGCCGAAGGCCAGACGCACAUACAGGUCGAAAGCGUACGGCCAAAUCCUGCGUCAGCACUGCCUGCCGCUUUCUGGCAUGAUCAUUUCGGUGAUGAGUGACAAGGCAGCUUUCGGGAAAGCUACUUUGCACACACAGCAGCAAGAAACACAAGGCACACAAACAGCUUGCGCAAUGCGAUUUCCAGCGAGCAGAAGACGCGUGCUCAAAUUGAUUUCCGUACCUGCACAAAACUUUUCUUCUUCUGAAUUUUGUUUCUUCUGCAAAGUUUUUCAGAUGAUCAGAAGUUCAGAACAAAGAGAAGGGGGUCCCAGCUAGCGUGCAGUGUAUCGGAACAGUCAAUUAAUAGAUAAAAUCAAUAGUAAUAAGCUUGCUUCAUCAACACCAUAAGGAAGAAGAAAAUAUAUAGACUUGCCUGAACUGUAUCGGUGAAGAUCCAUGGAUAAUGGACUUGAUUUUUUAAGCAUUUCCUGAGAUUUUGAUAUCUGAGGUAGUUGGGCCAAUAUCGCCGGCUGGUGGUACAGCCAGCCGUACGGCUGAGUUGGAUCUCGGAUCGGCCUAGGGCUCCUAACCUUCUUAUCCUCUUAUGUUGCCGCUUAUCCCUUUCCCCGUUGGUGUUGAACCGCAAAUCACCUUUCCCGUCCCAAAAAAGAAAGGCCUGCCCUAUGGUGAUGCCGGGGACGAUGCAAGUCUAGCACGAUACACAGUAGGCUCUUCACUUCCAUCUCUCUGGUUCUUCCCAGAAAAGCAACCUCCUCAUCCACAUUUCUGGAUACCUUCCCAUAGCCUUUUCCAUGGCCUACUUACUAUACAUGCUCUUGCCACCUAGCUCGAAGCCCAUUGGUCAGGCAUGCCACAAGAAGGAAGUUAGGCCAGUGGCUGCACUGCACUUCCUGUUGGAAUUUGCUAGUGGGCUUUUGGCUCAAAGCCCAACUAAAAUUCUGAAUUUUUUUUGGCCCAUUCAUGCACACAUGUGAGUGGAGUGAGUGAGGCUAAAGUUUAGUUUCACCUCAUAAGUUGAAAGAGAGUUGCACCUCUUUAUAAGGUGAGCUCUCCUACCACUUGUAUGAGCAUGAGAAGAGGAGACCUACACGCGCGCUCCUCCGCCUCGCCUCAUCACGACGCGAUUGCGCCGCGGGUUGCGGGAUUGAGCCGAGCCAAGGACAGAGCUAUGCACGUUGUCUAUAUUUUUGCUGCUCGGGAAAAAUUAAUGAGUCAUAAAUUAAUAACGGAAAUGUUAACGCCCACACGUGUGGCAUGGCGUCAACUCGACCACACGCGCUUAUCACCGUCCACUGCAUUUCGCACGAAUCUUGACACGAUGCUGGGAUUCCGGACUGCCACGUAGGACUAGCGAAGUGUGUGGCGUGUAUGCCACUUCGCCCGCACGCCGUUUUGCCCCGACGACGACGGUUUUCAUAGUCAGCGCGUGCGGUGGAACUGCCAUCUCGCCCGCACACUAUCUCGAACGCAGUGGUUGCCAUAUUGCACGACUCGCCACUCACCCCUCCCCGCACUGGUGAUCUCUCGCUCCCUCCCCAUUUACUCCCCAACCCACCCAUUCUGCAGCGGUUCCAAUUGAUUCGGGAGGAGUCGAGAGGAGAAGGCGGCGGCGGUGGCGGAAUAGUCGACGGCAUUCGCGGCGGUUGUU
rnacentral:lncRNA from 1 species